AUUAGUACUGUGAAAGUUAUUAGGUUUUAGUUUUGAAGUGUAAAAAGUGGUGAAAAAAAAUUUAACGGAGAGGUAAAAUGAUUUAAACAAGGUAUUGAAAUAAAACAGUGUCUAAAGAAAUUUCAAGAAAUUGCACAAGUGGCACUAUUAAAUAGGUUGCAAUAUUACAUUUUUUAGAAAUUAGAAUUAUUAGAAUUGCAUUGUUAUUUUAGCGAGAGGGAUUUUUGGAAACAAUUGACAAAAAGGAAAAGAAAAA
rnacentral:lncRNA from 1 species